rnacentral:ncRNA from 2 species
GUUCCCGAGGGGCGCUGCAGCGGUCAGACCGCGAGGCUCGGGGGCAGGGCGCAUCAUUGAUGCAACGGCGCCCAUUCGUC